rnacentral:rRNA from 1 species
AGAUUGAACGCUGGCGGCAUGCUUUACACAUGCAAGUCGAACGGUAACAGGCCGCAAGGUGCUGACGAGUGGCGAACGGGUGAGUAAUGUAUCGGAACGUGCCCAGUCGUGGGGGAUAACGCAGCGAAAGCUGCGCUAAUACCGCAUACGAUCUAUGGAUGAAAGCGGGGGACCGUAAGGCCUCGCGCGAUUGGAGCGGCCGAUAUCAGAUUAGGUAGUUGGUGGGGUAAAGGCUCACCAAGCCAACGAUCUGUAGCUGGUCUGAGAGGACGACCAGCCACACUGGGACUGAGACACGGCCCAGACUCCUACGGGAGGCAGCAGUGGGGAAUUUUGGACAAUGGGCGCAAGCCUGAUCCAGCAAUGCCGCGUGCAGGAAGAAGGCCUUGGUUGUAAACUGCUUUUGUACGGAACGAAACGGUCCUGGUUAAUACCUGGGCCUAAUGACGGUACGUAAGAAUAAGCAACCGGCUAACUACGUAGCCAGCAGCCGCGGUAAC